rnacentral:rRNA from 2 species
AAACUAACUAGGAUGCCUUCAGUAACGGCGAGCGAAGCAGGCAUAGCUCAAAUUUGUAAUCUGGCGCCUUUGGCGUCCGAGUUGUAUUUUCUAGAAGCGAGUUCGGCGACAGCUCCUACCCAAGUCCGUUGGAACGCGGCGUCAUGGAGGGUGAGAAUCCCGUGAAUGGUAGGAUGUCUGCUGCUAUGUGAACCGCCUUCGAAGAGUCGAGUUGUUUGGGAAUGCAGCUCUAAAUGGGAGGUAAAUUUCUUCUAAAGCUAAAUAUUGGCCAGAGACCGAUAGCGAACAAGUAGAGUGAUCGAAAGAUGAAAAGAACUUUGAAAAGAGAGUUAAACAGUACGUGAAAUUGUUGAAAGGGAAGCGCUUGAGAUCAGACUUCCUGUCUGGACUGUCCUUGCUUUUGCUUGGGUCAACAGUCCAGGCGUGGAGGCCAGCAUCAGUUUUGACGGCCGGAUAAAGGCCUUGGGAAGGUAGCUCCUCUCGGGGAGUGUUAUAGCCCAGGGUGUAAUACGGCCAGUUGGGACUGAGGACCGCGGCUCUGCCUAGGAUGCUGGCGUAAUGGUCUUAAGCGAC